UACUGUGCCGGUGCAAUGGCUGUAGUGGACUGCAUUAUUAAACUUGGAGGCAGUGCAUUGACGUAGAAGAACCAGCUAGAGACGCUGAAAGCGGAGUCCUUGCAGGGGGCGGCUGCUAUUGUAUAUAAGCUCUGCGUGGCUGGAGAGAGGCGGUGCAUCAUCGUGCACGGUGCAGGCCCGCUGUGUUCCCCUAACAGUUGAUGAAUGUCAGAUCUUCAAGCAGUGGAAACGAUACAGAGCGAUGGGAAGCUAUAGAUUGUCAACGUCAAGCUGCCUUUGACAGUUAAGAAGGAGGGAGAGAGCAAGCAAGAGGGAGACCAUCCACUAGUGGUGGUGGAAGACAAUCGAUGUCAUAUUAUAUAUCUUUACUUAGAAGUAAAUCCUACUAUUUACAAUGGGCCUAAACUCACAAAGAGAUGUGCAUAGGAUUGCAGCCUGUGGUUGUUUAAACACAUGCUGUAGUGGAGGCAUUUUCUUUGAAAUGAGUCCUUUCCCUUUCGAAGGCUGAAGACCUAGGUAGAGGAUUAAAUUCUGUUAUUAAUGUACUGCAUUGGAUCACACUGUGCAUUAACACCAACAGAGUGUUUCCAAAAUGGUGCCUUUCCUUGUUCAGGAUUAGUCUCUUGUAAUAAAAGUAGACUUAAGUGUA